rnacentral:rRNA from 1 species
UACAUGUGGGGCAAGCGUUGUUCGGAUUCAUUGGGCGUAAAGGGUGCGUAGGCGGCGCGGUAAGUCGGGUGUGAAAUCUUGGAGCUUAACUCCGAAACUGCAUUCGAUACUGCCGUGCUUGAGGACUGGAGAGGAGACUGGAAUUUACGGUGUAGCGGUGAAAUGCGUAGAUAUCGUAAGGAAGACCAGUGGCGAAGGCGGGUCUCUGGACAGUUCCUGACGCUGAGGCACGAAGGUCAGGGGAGCAAACGGG